GAUGAUAUUUCCGAAGUUGUACUAAAUACCCACUAUUUGGGCUAUGACGAAACCCACCAUAUAAAUUUCCUCUGACUACAGUGGGUGGGGUACGAAAAAAUCGGCGUCUGCGGUUGUGUCAUCGUUUUGUGAGAAAUCAGAUUUUUUUGGAUUGAAGUUGGGCAUUUUCUAUGAGUGAAUAGCUUUGAUCGAUUUCUUCUGAUAUGAUGGUUUUAGACUUUGAGUGAGUGAAUAGUAUUGAUCGAAG
rnacentral:lncRNA from 1 species